GGCUCAGGACGAACGCUGGCGGCGUGCCUAACACAUGCAAGUCGAACGGAUUUAAACCUUCGGGUUUAAGUUAGUGGCGGACGGGUGAGUAACGCGUGAGUAACCUGCCUUUGAGAGUGGACUAAUACCGCAUAUUGAGUAUUUACCGCAUGAUAGAUACUUGAAAGAUUUAUCGCUUAUGGAUGGACUCGCGUCAGAUUAGAUAGUUGGUGAGGUAACGGCUCACCAAGUCGACGAUCUGUAGCCGAACUGAGAGGUUGAUCGGCCACAUUGGGACUGAGACACGGCCCAGACUCCUACGGGAGGCAGCAGUGGGGAAUAUUGCACAAUGGGCGCAAGCCUGAUGCAGCAACGCCGCGUGAGGGAAGACGGUUUUCGGAUUGUAAACCUUUGUCUUUGGUGAAGAAGAAAGUGACGGUAACCAAGGAGGAAGCCACGGCUAACUACGUG
rnacentral:rRNA from 1 species